CAACGACUCUCGGCAACGGAUAUCUCGGCUCACGCAUCGAUGAAGAACGUAGCAAAAUGCGAUACUUGGUGUGAAUUGCAGAAUCCCGUGAACCAUCGAGUUUUUGAACGCAAGUUGCGCCCGAAGCCUUUUGGUCGAGGGCACGUCUGCCUGGGUGUCACAC
rnacentral:rRNA from 1 species